rnacentral:rRNA from 1 species
UACAGAAGGGGCAAGCGUUGUUCGGAAUUACUGGGCGUAAAGGGCGCGUAGGCGGCCUGUUAAGUCGAACGUGAAAUCCCCGGGCUCAACCCGGGAACUGCGUCCGAUACUGGCAGGCUUGAAUCCGGGAGAGGGAUGCGGAAUUCCAGGUGUAGCGGUGAAAUGCGUAGAUAUCUGGAGGAACACCGGUGGCGAAGGCGGCAUCCUGGACCGGCAUUGACGCUGAGGCGCGAAAGCCAGGGGAGCAAACGGG